UCUCCGUAGGUGAACCUGCGGAGGGAUCAUUACAGAGUUCAUGCCCUACCGGGUAGAUCUCCCACCCUAUGUUAUUAUUCCUUUGUUGCUUUGGCCGGGCGUUAGGCUCCGGCCCGACUACCGGGCCCGGCUGGUAAGCGCCGGCCAGAGGCCCCAAAACCCUGAAUAUUAGUAUCGUCUGAAUACUAUAUCAUAGUUAAAACUUUCAACAACGGAUCUCUUGGUUCUG
rnacentral:misc_RNA from 1 species